UGCGUUGUGUGGAAGGUGUCUUGCUUUCCCUUUGCCUUCCGCCAUAAUUAGCUCAGCCAUCCAGGUGAAGGUACAGAGAUAGAUGAUCCCAGUUUGACAUGCAGUGCUCUUGGUAAUUCUAUGCCGGUGUGAUAGACACAGAAGAUGAAAUAGACUAAAAAGACCCACUAAUACUGCUGUUAAUGAGUGAAGAGGAAAUGAGGUAAACACCAACGCCAUUAAAGUGGUUCUACUUUACGUCAACCACCAGGAAACAAGGAUCACGGAGCAUGUGAGAAAAUGGUAAUUGAGAAGGCUGAUCAAGGAACACACUAAAAUUGGAGGCAUGAAACACUUGCAGAAUUGUCCCAAUGGUCCAUCUGGGGAUCCUGGGAACAAGUGUCUUUCAAGCCACGACCAGUCUUUCUACUUCUUCCUCAUACUUUGUAUCUGGCUUGUGUACAUGUCACAGAAUCAGGUACUAAAACAAGAGGUGAUACAGAAAUAAGCUAUCCCAAAUAUAGCAUUAAGUGAAACAAACACAUCGUAUACUAGUUAUUAUAUCCGGAAGUUUGCAUUUUAUAUGCCUCAUGGAGAUACUUAGCGAUAUUCAGCAACCUUGCAAAUGGAGUGGUCUCUGCCAGACAGCUACUAACAGCUGUAGAACAAUUUCAGAAGCUGCUUACCCAAGAAGUCUAAUGUGGAAGGACAUGGCUGUCACUGCCUGGGGAAGCAAAUAGGAAAGAAUAUGACAAAGGAGGAAAUCAGCUGUUGGACCAAAGAAUUUAAA
rnacentral:lncRNA from 1 species